rnacentral:rRNA from 1 species
UUAGUGGCGGACGGGUGAGUAACGCGUGGAUAACCUGCCUCAUACAGGGGGAUAACAGUUGGAAACGGCUGUUAAUACCGCAUAAGCGCACGAAACCGCAUGGUUUUGUGUGAAAAACUCCGGUGGUAUGAGAUGGGUCCGCGUCUGAUUAGCUAGUUGGCAGGGUAACGGCCUACCAAGGCGACGAUCAGUAGCCGGCCUGAGAGGGUGUACGGCCACAUUGGGACUGAGACACGGCCCAAACUCCUACGGAAGGCAGCAG